UAUUGCACAAUGGGCGCAAGCCUGAUGCAGCCAUGCCGCGUGUGUGAAGAGGGCCUUCGGGUUGUAAAGCACUUUCAGUCAGGAGGAAAGGUUAGUAGUUAAUACCUGCUAGCUGUGACGUUACUGACAGAAGAAGCACCGGCUAACUCCGUGCCAGCAGCCGCGGUAAUACGGAGGGUGCGAGCGUUAAUCGGAAUUACUGGGCGUAAAGCGUACGCAGGCGGUUUGUUAAGCGAGAUGUGAAAGCCCCGGGCUCAACCUGGGAACUGCAUUUCGAACUGGCAAACUAGAGUGUGAUAGAGGGUGGUAGAAUUUCAGGUGUAGCGGUGAAAUGCGUAGAGAUUUGAAGGAAUACCGAUGGCGAAGGCAGCCACCUGGGUCAACACUGACGCUCAUUACGAAA
rnacentral:rRNA from 1 species